GAUGAACGCUAGCGGGAGGCCUAACACAUGCAAGCCGAGCGGUAGAGAUUCUUCGGGAUCUUGAGAGCGGCGUACGGGUGCGUAACACGUGUGCAACCUGCCUUUAUCUAGGGGAUAGCCUUUCGAAAGGAAGAUUAAUACCCUAUAAUAUAUUGAUUGGCAUCAAUUGAUAUUGAAAACUCCGGUGGAUAGAGAUGGGCACGCGCAAGAUUAGAUAGUUGGUGAGGUAACGGCUUACCAUGGCGACGAUGGGUAGGGGUCCUGAGAGGGAGAUCCCCCACACUGGUACUGAGACACGGACCAGACUCCUACGGGAGCAGCAGUGAGGAAUAUUGGACAAUGGGCGCAAGCCUGAUCCAGCCAUGCCGCGUGCAGGAUGACGGUCCUAUGGAUUGUAAACUGCUUUUGUACAGGAAGAAACACUCCCUCGUGAGGGAGCUUGACGGUACUGUAAGAAUAAAGGGAUCGGCUAAACUCCGUG
rnacentral:rRNA from 1 species